CAUGUGUCAGCCACAACCACAAGGCCGUGAUCACCGGCUAUGACCUGGGCAUCAACACACAACAGGGUUCAGACUACAAACCACUUCUGUGUGACUAAGGGACGGAGAAGAGU
rnacentral:lncRNA from 14 species